UGAGUUCAAUCCCUGGUACCAAAUAAAAAAAUAAAUAGAACUGUUUCUUAUUUUCAAAAACUUAAGUAUUCGGUAUGAUGAAAUUAGUACUUUCCACGUUGCUCUGGACCAGAGCUGGAGCAUUUCCUGUAGAUGAGACUAUCAGCCAGUCAUUAAAAGUACAUCUGGAAGAGGUUGGGGCUAGGGAAUAUCAUAGGUUGUUUUGUGUGUAACUAUUGUAAAAUUACAAGUUUAUUGUAGCAUUGAUGUAAUAUAUGGAAGACCUUCCAAUUUUUCAUUGCCUCAGUUCCUUCAAGAAAAGAGUUACAGAAAUUAGCCUGGCCUGGUGGUGCAUGCCUGUAAUCCCAGCCCUCAGCAGGCUCAGGCAGGAAGAUCUCCAUGAAGUUCAAGGCCAGUCUGAAUUUCAUAGUGAGUCUGUCUCAAAACAAAAGGAUUACAGAAAUUUAAGUUUUGGCUUUAAGGCUUAAUUACUAUAAAGCAAAUUACCUCAAACAUGACAUAUUUGUUAUCUCCGUUUCUGUGAGUGAAGAGUUCAGUAACAGCUUAUCUAGAUCCGUGCUCGGGGCCCAGCAAGGAUACAGUCAAGGUGUCAGCCAGAGCUGCAGUUUCAUUGGAAUCUGGGGACCUUCGUGCCUGUAUGGCAGAAUCCGUUUCCUUGUAGCUGUAGAACUCAGCAGCUUACUUUUUCCAAGGCCAGCAGGAAAGUUUCUGAUCUCAGGGAUGGUCCAAACCCUUUUAAAAGGCUCAGCUGAGUAGCUCAGGACCUUCAUCCCCAGGAUAAUUUCCCUCUUGAUUAACCCAAAGCCAAACUAGGUACCUUAAUUAUACCUGCAGAAUUUCUUCACCUUAACCUACAUUCCAGUCUGAUCACAGGUCUUAAUUAUAUUCGUAGAUUUUGCUCACAUUCAAAGAAGGGCAUUAUAUGGGGUAUGUAUACCAGGGAAUCUUGGGAACUGCUAGUGUUUAUGACAUGAGGGAACAUAAGUAUUUAGAACUGGGGUGGUAACCAAGUUACCUGUGAGAACCCAAUGAAAACUCUGGACCAGCUCCCCUCCAAAAGUGCAUAGACAAGGGCCAGGGGUGUCGCUCAGCAGCACCUUGCCUGCCUGGCAAGUGCAAGGUCCUGAGUUUGAUACCCAAUACUGGGGAAAAAAUGCAUACAUACAGUUUCCAUCGAAUUUCAUUAAGGAGUUUAUGGGAGUCUAUAGAUUACGGAGUAUAAAUGACCUGUCCCAGCCUUCCCCUUCAAAUGACAGUGGUCAAGGUAAUUCGCUCAAGGUCACACGUCUGUGAAGGGCCAGUGGUCUGAAACCCAGCCUACAAUGUCUUCAAGAUACACCUGUACCCUGAUUUAAACAGCAGAGGAAUUUGUAAAAAGGAAAGCAGGUAGCCCACAAGAUCACCAUAAAUUAUACAUAUGCAAGUACAGGCCCAGUAUGGCAGAACAAGGUGACCUACCCUCAUGUUGGCUUCAGUGGAGGCCAAAGCAAGAACACUGGAGAUGACGGAAACUCUGAGGACUACGUGC